GACGAACGCUGGCGGCGUGCUUAACACAUGCAAGUCGAACGAAGUGGCGAACGGGUGAGUAACGCGUAAUCAACCUGCCCUUCAGAGGGGGACAACAGUUGGAACCGACUGCUAAUACCCCAUACUGAAGGAGGGGGUUGCGGCUGAUUGGCUCGUUGGAGGGGUAACGGCCCACCAAGGCGAUGAUCAGUAGCCGGGUGGAGAGGAUGGACGGGCAAAUGGGGAAUGGAGAAAGGCCCCGGAUCCGUCGGGAGGCAGCAGGUGGGGAUCUUUCGAAAUUGACGAAAGUCUGAAGGAGCAAAGCCGCGGGAGUGAUGACGGCCCUCGGGGUGUAAAGGUCUGUUAAGCGGGAAGCGGUACCGGAAGAGAAAGCAACGGCUAACUACGUGCCAGCAGCCGCGGUAAUUC
rnacentral:rRNA from 1 species